UGGAAAGAAGGAAGGAAGGAAAUAAGUCAAAAAUGAAGUCGGUAGAUUGAAAGAAUAAAUGUAGAAAGGAAGAAAGAAAGGAAACAAAGAAGAAAGGAAGUAAGGACACAAGUAAGUCAGGAAGUAGGGAAGAACGGAAGGAUGGAAGUCAAAAACGGAGAUCAAGAAGGAAGGAAGUCAGGAAGACUGAAAAUCCAGAAACAGUAAAUAAUCGCAGGAAUAUGGACAAAUGGUGUAAUGAAAAGAGAAAGAAAGAAAGAAGGCGAAGAAAAAGUGAGGAAGGAAAGAAGGAACAAAC
ensembl:lncRNA